rnacentral:rRNA from 1 species
ACGGGGGGUGCAAGCGUUGUUCGGAAUCAUUGGGCGUAAAGCGCGCGCAGGCGGCUUGGUAAGUCAGAUGUGAAAUCCCUGGGCUUAACCCAGGAAGUGCAUUUGAUACUGCGUCGCUAGAGUACGGGAGAGGAAAGUGGAAUUCCUGGUGUAGAGGUGGAAUGCGUAGAUAUCAGGAGGAACACCGGUGGCGAAGGCAGCUUUCUGGCCCGAUACUGACGCUCAGCCGCGAAAGUGUGGGUAGCAAACAG